UGCUUCUCUCUGAAUCUAAGUAAUGUGAAAUAAAGUGGUAGAAAGGUCUGUAGACAAUCAAUACAGAAUUUCAAGAAGUUCUGGUAGUAGGAGAUCUAGGCUAGUUUCUGGCCAGCAUUCAUCAUGGAGGUCUACCAGCAGGUACCAAAACCACAACGUUGAGGAGGAGGACUCCAUUCUCUGGAAAGAUCCCUUAGGUGUGGAUUGAAAAGCUAGACGUGGUUUCAUUGGCAUAGAGAGCUCCUAAUGAAGGAAGGAAGAAAGGAAUGAGAAAGUGGUCACAUUUUGAAGUUGUGGAUUUGGGGGAGAAGUCUGCAAUGGAGAGAAACAAGAUAAGACAAAUGAUCUACUUGAGAGGAAGAAAAAGAAAGAACUUUGAUUUAAAGGGCAAGCAAAGAAGUACUAUUGCUUAUUGAUAUUCUGAAUAGAACAGAGAUGAAAACUUUAUACAUUAUAUAUGCUUUUCAUAAAUUGUUCAUAUAUGAACCAAUGUGAGAUUUAUGCCACAUAUUUAACAUGUGACAGGUAUUCUAUUUCAUAUAUGCCAUCCAUUUCAUAUAUGGCAAUUAUGUUGUAUGUUCCCUAUAUUACACAUUCUCCAGGAUUGUUAGUAUCCAAUUUCCUGCCUCCAUACAUUUGCACAGGCUUUUUUCUGUCCCUAGAAUAUUCUCCCUUCUUAGUACCUCUUUGAGGUUUAUCUCAUGGGCCAAAUCAUUCAAGAAGAUACCCUAUUUCCCCAGGUUUUGAGUGUCCCCAUCAAAUCUCUGUGUGUUUAAUUUAUAAAAAUCUUAUACAUUCUUAUCAGUGAUUUCACUGCAUCCUCCUAAUCAAAAUAUACAACUACUAGCAAUAAAAAUUACCUAGAUUAGGUGCAUACCUCUCAGGAAAUGCCUCAAAGGCUUACUUCUGCCUGGUGUAACCUUUCUAUAAACAGCCUCAUAAUGUCUAAGGGUUUUGACCCCCAAGGAGCCUUGUGUCGCUGAAACUGAAUUUUUAUUUUACAGUUGAGUUGAGAGUAUCCCAAGUGCAACUUGUGAAAGUAAACCUUGGUGCCAAAAUUGCUGAUGAUAAGCUCUGGAGUAUUGGACUAAUGAGGUCACAGGACCAUCAGAGUAAUGGUUCUCAAAAAUAUGCUCUGGAAAUCCCUAGGCCAAAAUAUUUUCAUAGUGAGGUCAAAAUAUUUUCAUAAGAGGGGCAGCUAGGUGGUACACUGGAUAGAGCACUGGCUCUGGAGUCAGGAGGACCUGAGUUCAAAUCCAGCUUCAGACAAUUAACACUAGCUGUGUGACCAUGGGCAAGUCACUUAACCCCAAUUGCCUCAGUUAAAAACAAAACAAAACAAAAUAUUUUCAUAAGAAUACUGAGACUUAAAAAUUUCUAAUGUGAUAAACAUCAAUAGAUAUGAUCCAAAGCAAAUUUGGGGGAAGUUCAUAAUAAUCUAUGAGAUUGUAAAGGGGACCUGAGACAAAAAGUAUACCCAUAUAUAGAAAGGAAGUCUUUAAAUUCUUGGUACCUUCCUUCUAGAUAAGGAUUUCAGCUCUGAAUUCAAAAGCUCAGAUUUCAUAGCUGCUGGGAGAUUAUUUUUAAGAGCUUUGAAAAUAAAAAAAAGGCAAUCCAGUAACUUUGCUGACAGGAUUUUUGUUGUUUAAGUCAAGUUAUUCUUUUGAAGUUUUAGAAAUAUUAACUCAUGUUAAAUAGCAGCUCUCUUGUUUUCACUUGGGGACUAAAUUUUGUUUAGUUUGUAAUUGACAUGAAUUUUUAGAACCAUAAAUAUUAUUUUGUUCUAUAGCAUACCUGGAAGUUUUGGAUUUUGGCCAUGGAAUUACUGCGUGUAACAGAGAAUGAGAUAUGCAUUGUCAAACAUAGCUACCUUGUUGAUUUGUUUUUUUUUUUUUUUUUGGACUACACAUAUUUGAGAGAGAGUGCUGAUAAUAUAAUUGCAGGAAUUGAAAUUGGGAAUUGGCAAAAAAAAGACUUGGUUAAAUAUAUUUAAAAUGCAUAGAAAAUUGUAAAAAAGGCAGAAGGGAACAAUACAAUUUUUUGCCAUUUUUAAAAAAAAUUUGUUAAUGAUUGUGGCUUGCAAAAAAUAAGUAUCUUCUAUUCCUUGGCUGCAUAAAUUCCUCUGAACAUUUUGAAAUCAAACACAUUGUUGCUUUCCUAAAAAUGAAAUAUGUGGAAAAAAAAGUUUUUUAAGUGAGUAGUGAAGUUGUGUCCUUUCCAUAAAAUUAUUUCCAUAGUAUUUCAAAGGAUCUAAUUACAGAGAAAUGCAAUCUGCUACAUUAUUCUUACAUGUAUAUGUUGUUUUUUCUUUUUUUUUUGGUAGGGCAAUGAGGGUUAAGUGACACACAGCUAGUAAGUGUCAAGUGUCUGAGGCUGGAUUUGAACUCAGGUCCUCCUGAAUCCAGGACCAGUGCUCUAUCCACUGUGCCACCUAGCUGCCCCUUACCUGUUGUUUUAAUCCAAAAUAUUUAAGUGGGACAUCUAGGUGGCACAGUGGAUAGAGCACUGGCCCUGGAUUCAGGAGGACCUGAGUUCAAAUCCAGCCUUAGACACUUGACACUUACUAGCUAUGUGACCCUGGGCAAGUCACUUAACCCCAAUUGCCUCACCAAAAUAAAAAAAUUCAAAAAAAGACAAUAAGAACAACAACAACUCUCUUGGCUAAUUAUGAUAAAAUUUAUAUACUUUGAUUAUAUAGAGGAAAUGGUGUAAACAUUUCAAAAGAUAAGGUUAAAGACAAAUGAAUACAAAUAACUGUAGUUGAGUAAUACUGUCUUUAUCAUUGUACUAAUAUGUAUGUCUUGCUAAAGCAGUGAGGAAGAUUAACAAUUCUCAAACACCAAAAUUCUUGGGGGAAAAUUCAAUAAUUAAAUUAAGAUUGCCAAAUAAUCACCAGGACUUGGAGAAACUAUAGUCAUGAAAGCCAAUUUAUUUAUUUAUUUUUUAACAUUUGGAGUAUAGUUCUUGUGAUCAGUUUAAAAACAAAUCUUGCAAAAUGAAGAUAACUGGGCUUUGUAGUUCCAUUUGAUUCUUGAGCCAAAAAAUUUGGCUGGCUCUUGUGUACAGCUGCCUUUGGUAAAUUACAAAAAAAAAAUAAAAAAU